CAGAAAAAGAUGUACCUCGAUAAAUAACAUCAUUCGAAGAAGCCGGCCUGCGCCUACUACUACUUCAAAACAUUAAGAUUGCUGGCUACAUAAAAUCAACACCUAUACAGAAAGCUUCAGUUGCAGAUAUUCUUGCCAAAAGAGAUUUGAUUACUUGUGCUGUCACGGGCUCCGGCAAAACGGUAAUCCAAUUAAUGAACGCUGUGUAAUUUUGAAACCUUGAUGCCUUCGUACUAACUUGAUUCGAAUGGGUCGAUAUGAACUGGCUAAGGAGAAGUAAGAUACCACAAGCUGUUUGAAGAAUGGGUAUGUUGGAUCGUUCACAACCUUGGCUAAGCCAUGUUUGCCAUACCCACCCUAUCCAGAAAGACAGCAAAAGAAUAGGUCAGUUUCGAUGGCUGAAACAUCACCAGUGCUUUGGCAUGAUCAGGUGCAAAAACGACUGAAAAGAUUGAAUCAACACUUAUUACUCGAACGAAAAGGAGUUGAGCACAAAGGAGGAUACUGUGAAAAAAGAUAGAUGCCUGUCAACAGCAUCAUCUGACAGUUGUAAUGGAGGUUGUGGAGGGCUUAAGAAGAAAAAAUAUAGGCGUUUUGGAGAGGUUGAUAAAACAGAGAAGAAAAAACUGACACCCAGACAAUGGCUUCUAUUGGUUGUUCUCUCAUUAGCAACUCUCACAUCAUCAUUUGCCUUUCCCCCCCGUUCUUUCCCUAAAUUGCUGAAGAUAAGGGUGCCACAGUAUCCAUUUAUGGAUUUAUUAUUGGUACCAACUGCCUGACAUCGUUUCUUGUCACACUCCUUUUAUUGGAAAAACCUAAAAGUUAGUGGCGUUCGGUUCACCUUUGUUUCUGGAGUUUUCAUUGGAGGUAUUUGCUGCUUAUUAUCGGGCUUUUUAGAGUAUUUCCCUCCCGGGGGUUCAUUCGUCGUAAUAUCUAUAUUGAUCCGCGUCAUUCACGCUGCCGGAAACGCUGGAACAAUUACGGCGACGUUUACGUACACUGCUGUGGAGUUUCCCAAUUCCGUUGCCAAAAUCUUUAAUCUUACAAGAACCAUGAUGAACAUUGCCCAGUUUGCUAGUCCUAUAGUCGGUGGUGCAUUGCAUGAAGUAGGUGGUUUUAAGACUACCUUUAUCCUCAUGGGAGGAAUUCAAACUAUUAUGGCCUUUAUUGCAUUACCCUUUCUCGCCGAUUAUGACGUGUCACAGUAUGACGAGGGAUAAACUAAAACUCAAUCGCCAUUGGCUAUUUUGUGUAUUCCAUCCAUUUGGAUCCCGUUCUUCACGUUCAUCGUAUCGACAUGUCGAACGGGUUCCUCUCGAUCAACUUUGAACCGCAAGUGUUGCGUACGUUUGACUUGACACCAUUUUACGUGGGUAUCUUUUUCGGACUGAAAGACGGUGCCAACAGUAUAGCCAGCCCUAUUUGGGGAUACUUGUGCGAUCGCCGAGGACCUGUGAAGCUCUGCCUUUUUUCCAGUACCAUGAUCGGAGCCUUGUCCAUAUUUUUGCUGGGGCGUUUUCCCUUCGUUCCUAU